rnacentral:rRNA from 1 species
CUUUAGUGGCGAACGGGUGCGUAAUACGUGAGAAUCUGCCCUUAGGAGGAGAAUAACUUCUGGAAACGGUUGCUAAGUCUCCAUAUGCCGAGAGGUGAAAUAGUUUAUACUGCCUAGGGAUGAGCUCACGCCUGAUUAGCUUGUUGGUAAGGUAAUGGCUUACCAAGGCCACGAUCAGUAGCUGGUUUGAGAGAACGAUCAGCCACACUGGGACUGAGACACGGCCCAGACUCCUCCGGGAGGCAGCAGUGAGGAAUUUUCCGCAAUGGGCGAAAGCCUGACGGAGCAAUACCGCGUGAGGGAUGAAGGAUUUUGGUCUGUAAACCUCUUUUUUCAAGAAAGAAGUUCUGACGGUACUUGAGGAAUAAGCAUCGGCUAACUCCGUGCCAGCAGCCGCGGUAAUACGGGGGAUGCAAGCGUUAUCCGGAAUCAUUGGGCGUAAAGCGCCUGUAGGUUGUUUAAUAAGUCUGUUGUUAAAGACUAGGGCUUAACCCUAGGAAAGCAAUGGAAACUGCUAGACUUGAGUAUGAUAGGGG